rnacentral:RNase_P_RNA from 2 species
UUGGGCGGCUGGAUGGUCGCGCCUGCGCGGGCGACCGUGCGGGCGAGGAAAGUCCGGGCUCCACGGAGACACGGCGCCGGGUAACGCCCGGCCGGGUUCGGGCCUUGGGAAACCAUGGGCCGGGUCUGAGGGAAAGCGCCACAGAAAACAGACCGCCGGUCGCGCAAGCGGCCGGCAAGGGUGAAACGGUGGAGUAAGAGCCCACCGCGCCCCCGGCGACGGGGGCGGCAUGGCAAGCCCCGCCGGGAGCAAGAUCGUAUAGGGACCGCAUAUCGGGCGUCUCCGCCCGGCGGUCCGGGUUGAUCGCGAGAACCCGUCGGCGACGGCGGGUCCAGAUGAAUGACCAUCCACGGGGUCGGGCGACCGGCCCCCGGACAGAACCCGGCUUACAGGCCGCCCAACUUC